UGGCUCUGGAGAAGCUCAUUGCGAGGACCGAAGGUGCAAGGCGGCGACGCCGAAUCUCUCAGGUAAAAGGACAGAGUAA
rnacentral:ncRNA from 1 species